GAAGGGUCUAGGGUUUAGCCGUUGACCCCUACUUGGAAUUAUCUCAGGAGGAUCAACUAAGCCAACCUCAGCUAGUAAUUUUAAGGCCUAGUUAAUGAGGUUUUCAAUUUUCUUGAAGUCAUUGAGAUACUUUUACCUGAUUAUUCUAAUAUUGAAAGUUGAAUUAUACUUGCUAUUGUAACUUGUGAAGUUCCUGGCUCACAACAUAGACAUCAAUUAAUGCUAUGACCCAUUGCACUACCUGAGUUGUUGGCAGACACAAACAAUAGCAAUGAUCAUACUACCUUUGUGAGAAGAGACUUGGUUGAAUGUUAGUAGAUCUAUUUGCCUAAGUUAACCAUGUUGUUUAUAAAUCCGUUAGUUUAUCUUAGUCCUUGGCCUGUGUGGAACAAUAAAAAGUAUGCUGUCACUUAGCAUGGCUCUUUUUUUUGACUUUCUGGAAAUUGUGUUUCUGCUGUUAGCUAAGUAGUAAUUAUUUGUGGUCUUUAUUCUUUUGAGGAUACAGCAUUUCUAUGC
rnacentral:misc_RNA from 1 species